CCAUGUGCCAAAACCAAGCGAAUACACGUCGAUUCUCCUCUACGCGCGCUACAAUUCCACCGUUUUCGAACUUACUUUAAAGCCCUUAAUUCGCGGAAAAUCCAGUCAAAUUUUGCUUCCAGCUGUCUAAGCUGAUGUAUUUUAUCAGUUUUCGCGGUUUUCAUCCGGUAUAAACUCUAAAAAACCAGUGUCGAACUUUCGACGGUAUUACCUGUGGAAUUCUGUCGAAAAUUCCACAUCCACUUUAAUCAUCACCAAACAGUCAGAAAAACGCCUAGUUUCGUGAUUAAAAGCGUAGGUUGAGUUGGAUCGAACCUUUAUUUCAUUAAAUCUUGAUUAUUUUUGCGUAUUUUUAAUCAACCGUAACCGGUUAAUUGCAUUGUAAUUCAAGCGGUGGCAGAAAGCGCGGUUUUUUUCGGUAUCGCAGCUGCAGCUGGUUGAGAGCCGCGCCCACUCUGGCAAAACAUACAAAUAGCCGGCUCGCGCAACGCGCAAUAUACAUUUUUCCGUGCUCCGUCCACCUGCUACAGGGUCUCAGGUAAACUCAGGCUACCCUGAGCCUGAGCAGCAUGAGAAGCGGGAGUUCUGCGUGUCUGUUGUGCGCCAGAACGCGUAUGUGAGCGAUUGAAGCUGUCCAUUCACCUUCUUCCCGAUGUUUAUGACGGAGAUGUGACAGGUGGACACCGUCAUACAGAUAUUUUGGUUUGAACGGGCGUGAGGUUCAGCGCAGUUCAGCGGCAGAAGAAUUAUUUAUGCGGAAGAAAUCGGCCUCCGAUGUACCCUCCGAACUUGAUUAUGUAUUAAUAUAAAUUGCACCGAAUUAACUAUGCUAAUUUUUUCUGUAUUUUAAAUUACAAAUUGGUGUUUCAAAUUUUUAA